CCUACGGGAGGCUGCAGUGGGGAAUAGUGGGCAAUGGGCGCAAGCCUGACCCAGCAACGCCGCGUGAAGGAAGAAGGCUUUCGGGUGGUAAACUUCUUUUAAGGGGGACGAACAAAGGACGGUACCCCUGGAAUAAGCCACGGCUAACUACGGGCCAGCAGCCGCGGUAAUACGGAGGGGGCAAGCGUUAUCCGGAUUUAGUGGGGGGAAAGGGCGGGUAGGCGGGAGCGCAAGUCAGAUGUGAAAACUCAGGGCUCAACCCUGAGCCUGCAUUUGAAACUGUGUUUCUUGAGUGCUGGAGAGGCAAUCGGACUUCCGUGUGUCGCGGUGCACUUCGUCGCUAUCCGGAGGCACACCAGUGGCGAAGGCGGAUUGCUGGACUGUACCUGACGUUGCGGCUCG
rnacentral:rRNA from 1 species